UGCCGACUGCUUGGAUGUGUCAUCCCAUUCCUGUAGGUCAGCAGCAAAGUUUGUGUUUUGAAGGAGUGUCUCCAAACCUGCUCUAACGUGCUGUGACUUUUCUGAUGCUGACUUGGCUGUGACUGAGCUCAGGAGCAUAUUGAGCAGAGAUGAGUUCGGCAUGUGCCUGUGGCAGGUCCUGAGUGAUGGAGCGAGCAGCCCCCAGGAUGGGAGAUCUGGAGUUGAGCCAGUCUUGGGGCUGCCUGAACACACAAGUGUGUGCAGUGCUGCCUGGACAGAGACACAUCCAAGGAAAGAAGAGAGUGUAUUCAACAACUAUUCAACAACUCCUCAAGAUGUCAUCCAGGAGACCGUGUUAUGAACCAGGAGCCUAAACAAAGAAUAACUAGAUUGCCUCAGUCUGAAAAAAGCUUAUAAUUAAAGCCAAAGGAAAGUCUGCAGAGGUCUCUGUGUUGCUUUAUGGGGGGGACAUGGGAUGGUAGUGCCUGGUAUGAUGAGAGCAGCUCUAAACACAUGGAUGCCAUUGAGACAUCAAGCCUCUGUUGGCUCCCAGGAGAGGGGGAAGGAGAUAUCCAAAGAGACACCACAGAGUGGCUCUGAAUAUAUUAAAGAGGAAAUUCUUCCUUCCCUCCUUUCAGAUAUCUUAAACAAGCAUCUAAAAUGAAAAAGUAACUGCUAUGGUUUAUAUAUAUAAACUGCACCGCAAUAUAAUGUAAUAUAACUACACCAUACUCCUUUAAGAGUACUGUUGCUUGAAAACAGAUCUUGCAACAACUUGAGCUCCAGGAAACCACACCAAAACAGAGGCAGGAUGACUACUGGGCUAGUGAGAAAGGAGUGCCAGGGAUCAGAGUAUCAUGGAUUUACUUCCCUCAGUAUUAUCUAUACAGACAUAAAAUCUUGAAUUUUGACUUUUUUCAUGCUUUUGUUUUUAACAGGUUGUCUUGCUGCCCAAAGGCACUGUGUCUGUACCUGCCCUAUGGCACAGCCCCCAGCCCCUGAUGCUAUGGGGGUAUGGGCUCCCCGGAGUGCGAUGGAGGUGUCACUGGUAACACACUUGCUACAAAGAGGAGACGAAAUGGGAAGGCAGUGGCAUCUCUUUCCCCAUCUGGUGAUUCUGGCGGUGUCUCCCUGUCACUGCCUGUGCCUGUCCCACGCAGGGACCCACCUUGACUGUGCAUCCGCUAUCGUGGCUUUUUGUUCUCAGCACUCCACCAAGGCUCCGUGGAUGGCUCCUGUAAAGAUAAUAAAGAAGUGA
rnacentral:lncRNA from 1 species